rnacentral:sRNA from 1 species
GAAGAAGGUUGACAAGAAGAAUAAUUUGUCUCCUGUGAUUG